CCUACGGGUGGCAGCAGUGGGGAAUAUUGGACAAUGGGCGAAAGCCUGAUCCAGCCAUGCCGCGUGUGUGAAGAAGGCCUUCGGGUUGUAAAGCACUUUCAGUGGGGAAGAAAGCCUUGGGGCUAAUACCCUCGAGGAAGGACAUCACCCACAGAAGAAGCACCGGCUAACUCCGUGCCAGCAGCCGCGGUAAUACGGAGGGUGCGAGCGUUAAUCGGAAUUACUGGGCGUAAAGCGCGCGUAGGCGGUCUGAUAAGCCGGUUGUGAAAGCCCCGGGCUCAACCUGGGAACGGCAUCCGGAACUGUCAGGCUAGAGUGCAGGAGAGGAAGGUAGAAUUCCCGGUGUAGCGGUGAAAUGCGUAGAGAUCGGGAGGAAUACCAGUGGCGAAGGCGGCCUUCUGGACUGACACUGACGCUGAGGUGCGAAAGCGUGGGUAGCAAACAGGAUUAGAUACCGCAGUAGUC
rnacentral:rRNA from 1 species